CACCAGGUUGAUUCUGCCUGACGUAGAUGCUAGUCUCUAAGAUUAAGCCAUGCAUGUUUAUGUAACAAGGACGAACAGCUCAGUAGAACUACGAUGAUUUAGUCUGUCUGAGCAGGAUAACUACGUGAAAAUGUAGCUAAGAGGGGACGGAAUAAGACGUAGGACUAUCAGUUAGUUGGUAGUGUAAUGGACUACCAAGACGAUGACGGGUAACGGGGAAUCAGGGUUUGAUACCGGAGAGGGAGCCUGAGAGACAGCUCCCACGUCCAUGGACGGCAGCAGGCGCGAAAAUUGCCCACUCUUUGCAGGAGGCAGUUAUGAGACGUGAAAGUGAAUAUUCAGCAAAGAUGAAUAGGAGAAUUGGAGGGCAAGUUUGGUGCCAGCAGCCGCGG
rnacentral:rRNA from 1 species